CACCCCCCAUUUUCGCACCGGUUCUUAAAAACCGGUAGGAAAAAAAUUGGGCGGGAUUUGAAUAAUUACUUUUCGCACCGGUUCCUUUUAAACCGGUGCCGAAUCUUGGUUUUCGCAUCGGUUUGAACCGGUGCUAAAUGUUUUAUUAAAAAAAAAAAGAGGGAAAGAGGGAUUUCGCACUGGUUCAGCCCAAACCGGUGGGAAAAUUUAUUUACAACCGGUUCGAACCGGUGCUGUAAAUUAAAAAAAAAAAACUACUUAAUCGUGAAAUUCGAUCUUCUUCUUCCUUCAAUUCAGUUUUCAUUCCCCUUUUAGCUUUUCCACAUUCAAUUCGCACCCCCUUCGUUGUCGCCUACCUUCCCCAUAGCUGUACGUCCUCUAUCGAAGCGCAUUCUGGGCUUUCUCACCUCCAUUGCCGCAACUCGUCUCUUUCUCUCCAUACCUCUCCUCCAUUGAAGCGCAUUCUAUUGAGCUUUUCACCUCCAUUGAAGCGCAUUCUGAGCUUUCCAACUCCAUUGUAGCAGCUUCGAGUGAUAAAUAUACGAGCAUAUGCAUCCUGGGAUAGCUUCUCUCUUUAUCUGGUUUGGCAAGGUGAAACUACUCCAAAUAUGCAGACCUCAACAAUUAUGGAAGCUAGGAAACGAUAAGAUUUUCAAGUGUGACCGAUCCCUCUCUACUCGGGGAAGCAGGGGAGCUUGAAAUACGCAUCAAACUUGAUCCAGAUAAUGGGACCAUCACGAUUAGGAUACUGGUAAUUGGAAUGACAAAAGAGGAGCUUAUUGAUUGUUUGGGAACUAUUGCACAGAGUGGCACUUCUAAGUUCUUAAAAGCAUUGAAGGUACUCGAAACCUUUCUUGUGAUAUAGUCGUAUGUUUUAAUUAAAGUAGUCUUGUUUUUUCUAGAAACAAUCUGAGCUUGUCAGUGUAAGGUUUUUUGAAUUGAGAAGAGAAUAUGUGAUGAUUGAUAAGAAACUGAUGGGAUGAACCCUCAAUCGUCAAUAACUGUAUGCUAGCUCAAAAACGUGUACUCUGUUGUCAUUUGAGUUUUCUUUCUAUAUGAUUAGUUCCAUAUUGUUCAUGGAAUAGUUAUAGUGGUUGGAUUUUUUUCAUUUUUACAUGUUUGCUAGCUCUGUAGAAUUAUUGAUGAUAAAACUUGUAUGCUAUUGAUGUUAUGUUAGUCUCUUUACCUCUACAUUUUUGUACCAGUUGAAUUCGGUGCAAUGGUCAAUUUGCAGUUUAAAAUAAGAAGGUAAAAUAGGCCAGGUUUUUGUUGGUUAGUUUGUAAUUUGGUUUUACAUGAUACCUUGAGAAAUAUGAAGAGUAUGCCCAUCUUCUAGGGUUUUGUUAGUUUAGAAUUUUCAAUAUUAUUAUAGGUUAUUAGUUUUGAAAUAUAUUGGCAUUUUCUAGGGUUUUGUUAGUUUAGAAUUUUCAAUAUUAUUUUUAUUAGCUUCUAAUUUUCUGGGUUCUAUUGGUUUAAGAAGAAUAAAUUUAGAAGCAACUCUGAAAACUUAUAGACCACAUUCUACUCUUGGAUUGUAAUAAACUAUAUAGGUUUAGUUUAAAAACUUAGUAAUUAUCCAUAUGAUAAAACUAAGUAUGUGGCAUGGUAAUGAUUUAAAAACUUACAAAAAGAAGGAUCGCCAUGGUAAUACAACCCAAUUCCUUAAAAUUGACCUUCAAUAUAAUAUGGCCUAUUAUAUAGGGACGUAUAAGGAAUACCUGUUAAUAUACCUUUUAAGCUUAUAAGGUUUAUCUUGUUGAGUUUGGAAGGUAGGAGGAUUCUAGUGGUAGAGAUGAAAUUUGAGUGUAGUGUUUCCUACUUCUGUGAUGCAAAAGUAGUGAUGCUGUAAUGACAAAGUGAUUGAUAGCAUGAUUUAAACUAAUGAUGCACAUCGAUGCAGUGGCUAUUACGCAAAUAAUGGUCUAUUAUGUAACAGCUACUUUGAAUUCAUAUAUGGAUAUUACUUGGUUCUAUACUUGUGCAAUUAUGUGGAAUAUAUACAGAAUAAAGAGACAUUGCUGCAGUUGUUGAAUGCUAAACUCUGUAGAAUGAUUUUUUAAUUCAUUUGGCAUUCUUUGAUUCUUAACUAUUAUGAAAUUAUGAAAAAGUAAGAGCUAGUAGAGGCCGCA